rnacentral:lncRNA from 1 species
UUCAGAGUGGAUAGAUGUCACGGUUGUCUUCUAAUUGGAAUAUAAUCAGUGCCAAUCAUCGUUGGAAAAGUAGACCAACCCUUUUAUUCCACCUGU